rnacentral:rRNA from 1 species
GAUGAACGCUGGCUGCGUGCCUAACACAUGCAAGUCGAGCGUGAUUGUUGUGAGUGGAGACUUCGGUUGAAGCGAUCAACAUGAAAGCGGCGGACGGGUGAGUAACGCGUGGGCAACCUGCCCCAUACAGCGGAAUAGCCACUGGAAACGGUGAUUAAUGCCGCAUGAGACCACGGUGUCGCAUGACACAGCGGUCAAGGAUUUAUCGGUAUGGGAUGGGCCCGCGUCGGAUUAGCUAGUUGGUGAGGUAACGGCUCACCAAGGCGACGAUCAGUAGCCGACCUGAGAGGGCGGACGGCCACACUGGAACUGAGACACGGUCCAGACUCCUACGGGAGGCAGCAGUGGGGAAUAUUGCACAAUGGGCGCAAGCCUGAUGCAGCAACGCCGCGUGAGUGAAGAAGGCCUUCGGGUCGUAAAGCUCUGUCCUGUGGGAAGAAUAAAUGACGGUACCACAGGAGGAAGCCCCGGCUAACUACGUGCCAGCCGCCGCAGUAA